rnacentral:rRNA from 1 species
GACAGAGGAUGCAAGCGUUAUCCGGAAUGAUUGGGCGUAAAGCGUCUGUAGGUGGCUUUUUAAGUCCGCCGUCAAAUCCCAGGGCUCAACCCUGGACAGGCGGUGGAAACUACCAAGCUGGAGUACGGUAGGGGCAGAGGGGGGUGGAAUUCCGCGUGUAGCAGUGAAAUGCGUAGAUAUGCGGAGGAACACCGAUGGCGAAGGCAAUCCCCUGGGCCUGCACUGACGCUCAUGCACGAAAGCGUGGGGAGCAAACAGG